rnacentral:rRNA from 1 species
GCUUCCCUCUGUCUGCGUGCCUAAUACAUGCAAGUCGAGCGAACAGACGAGGAGCUUGCUCCUCUGACGUUAGCGGCGGACGGGUGAGUAACACGUGGAUAACCUACCUAUAAGACUGGGAUAACUUCGGGAAACCGGAGCUAAUACCGGAUAAUAUAUUGAACCGCAUGGUUCAAUAGUGAAAGACGGUUUUGCUGUCACUUAUAGAUGGAUCCGCGCCGCAUUAGCUAGUUGGUAAGGUAACGGCUUACCAAGGCAACGAUGCGUAGCCGACCUGAGAGGGUGAUCGGCCACACUGGAACUGAGACACGGUCCAGACUCCUACGGGAGGCAGCAGUAGGGAAUCUUCCGCAAUGGGCGAAAGCCUGACGGAGCAACGCCGCGUGAGUGAUGAAGGUCUUCGGAUCGUAAAACUCUGUUAUUAGGGAAGAACAAAUGUGUAAGUAACUAUGCACGUCUUGACGGUACCUAAUCAGAAAGCCACGGCUAACUACGUG